rnacentral:lncRNA from 1 species
GUUCGUCUCUCCUUUCGCUCUUUCCACGACAGUCUCCGAAAGCACAGGACCCUGCUCCUCCUGCGUGAUGCUCCGCUUGAGACUGCAACAUUUCGUUUGACGUAUCGCGGUGGUGGAGAAAGUGUAGCCUUGCGUUUCGAAGGCACCAUAUUGUAUUGUGAUCGUAAGAGGCUGACACCUCUCAAGCCGUGCAUCACCUGAGAGAAGACUGACUGCGCCAACAUGGGGUAUGGGCGGUCAGACAGUU